AACGCACAUUGCGCCCUUUGGUAUUCCGAAGGGCAUGCCUGUUCGAGCGUCAUUAUCACCCCUCAAGCCCCGUGCUUGGUGUUGGACGGCCUGGUCGAGGUGCCCUCGACCCCUCCUAAAGACAAUGACGGCGGCCUGUGGUUCCCCCGGUACACUGAGCUUUUAACUGAGCACGUAUCGGAUAAGGGCGCCCGGGACCCGGUCCUCUCCUUUCACAAGGAAACUUUUUCAAGGUUGACCUCGGAUCAGGUAGGAAUACGCGCUGAACUUAA
rnacentral:misc_RNA from 1 species